rnacentral:rRNA from 1 species
UACGUAGGGUGCGAGCGUUGUCCGGAAUUAUUGGGCGUAAAGGGCUCGUAGGCGGUUUGUCGCGUCGGGAGUGAAAACCCAGGGCUUAACCCUGGGCUGGCUUCCGAUACGGGCAGACUAGAGGUAUGCAGGGGAGAACGGAAUUCCCGGUGUAGCGGUGAAAUGCGUAGAGAUCGGGAAGAAGGCCGGUGGCGAAGGCGGCUCUCUGGAACGUUCCUGACACUGAGGCACGAAAGCGUGGGGAGCAAACAGG